GAGACUUUGACAACUUGGAGCCUUGUGCACUCUGUUCUGGGGCCUGAACAACCCAGCCUGGGAGCUGCUCAAGCUUCUGCUCUGUAGCAAUCAGCUGCUGCUGAGAACCGUUUAGUUUUGAUUGUAGAACAACUGCUUGACCAAUCUGCUAUUUCUUACAGGGUGGACUUGCCUCUCUCAGAAAAUUUGACAUAAUUAGAGGCAAAUUCCAGUGCUUCCCCUUUGGAGGAAGUUGAGCUGCCUCCCCCUGUGUUUGAGUUGCUAAGAUCACAGGACACAUCAGAGGCUCCUGGAAUAACCUUGUGGUUUAACAGAGACAAGAUGUAAUCUUCUGAACUCGGCUCCUUGACCCCAAACUUCUCUUGAUUGUUUACAGAUUUUGAUUACCAUUUACAAACAUUUAUUUCCCUUUUCAUGUUCUCAUGGGGCUGAGGAUUAACCCAAGGAUUUGUGCAUGUUAGGAAAAUUACUACUGAGCUACAUCUCUACCCAGUAAAGAUUUUAUUAGUGUAUAUUAACUUUACAGAAUAAUGGACAUUAUUGUAGCAUACUAAUAUAUGUAAGUAUCUUACUUUUAUCAUACCCACCU
rnacentral:lncRNA from 1 species